rnacentral:rRNA from 1 species
AUGGAGAAGGAGGCGGCGCCUGCUGGUGGUGCUGCAUCCCCCGAGAGGUUGAGGCUCAACCCGUAUGAGGGGUAUCGGAUCAAGGAGAAGAGGAUGGUGAAGAUGGACCAUCGGAACAGCUACAUCAAGUGGCUGCUCGAGUGGGACAAGAAGCCUCGCCCUCCCCUGCCCAACCUCCCCGAGACUCUCCGCUCCAUGGUCGCCAUCAAGGCCGAGCGAGCCCACCAUGAGAGGGUCCUCGCCGACUUCAAGCGCGACGGGAACGCCUACGUCCAGGUCGACGUCUUCCACGACGACGACCCAAGGGCCAACCUCCCCGACGACCAGUACGACGUCAUCCACCACGACAGCGACGAGGAAGGCGAAGAAGCGGAACGCAUCCUAGGCCGUCUCUAA